rnacentral:rRNA from 1 species
CAAUAGCGUAUGCUAAAGCUGCUGCGGUUAAAAAGCUCGUAGUUGAACUUCGGAGUGGGAUGGCUGGUCCGCCACUGGCGUGAACAGCACUCUCACUCUUCCAUCUGAAACACUGUUCUGUCCUUCACUGGGUGGUGCAGCGGUUCAGGUCAUUUACCUUGAAAAAAUUAGAGUGUUCAAAGCAGGCGUAACAAAGCCUUUGAAUAUAUUAGCAUGGGAUAAUGAAAUAAGACUUUUUGCCUUAUUCUCGUUGGUUCUUGGGGCUAAAGUAAUGAUUAAUAGGGAUGAAUGGGGUUCUUAGUAUUUAAUUGUCAGAGGUGAAAUUCUAAGAUUUAUUAAAGACUAACUGCUGCGAAAGCGUUGAACAAGCGCAUUUUCAUCAA